AUUCAUAGGUAUAUGGCCUCACAUUUGCUAUCCAACACUAGUGGCGCGUGAUUUUGCAACAUUAUGGGGUUUGUGUGUUCGGAUAGAGCAACAUAUCUGAGCAGAGAUUGUAUAGUAGGGACUAAAUAGGGAAUCAUGGCACCAAAGGUUAUACUUUUAUCUUUGCUAACAUUUAUUGUUGUUUCAGUUAGAUAACUACGUCACCUCCUAAACAAUCAGCUACAACUGCAUCAUCUCAUUUAAAUGACACUCAGGCAUCAUCUGAAACUGGAAGCGUGAGAGCCCGUGUUAAACCCAGAACCACCAGCGCUUAUGGAAACAUCUCACCUGCUGAGGUAACCAGAUUGACCAAGACAGUCAAACCCACUGAGGCGACCACCAGAGCCAGAGUUCCCAAACAAACGACAGUGAAGCCAUUCGAGUCAACUAAGAGUCCCUCGAAUGUCUUGAAACCAACAGCAGUGGAGCCAACACUACCAGCCACAAAAACGACGACCACCGCAGGACGCUUCAACACAGAGAACCUGAAUGAGAACAUCGAAGAACCACCGGUAUUUGUAUGUACCAGCCAAAGGUAAAAGUGUAAUUGGCAUUGUGACUGCAAUGUCUGGAGAUGUCUUCAAAGUGGAUGUGGGAGAAAGUGAACAGGCAUCUCUUGGGAGGAACCAAGAGGAACAGGUUGGAGAUCUGGUGUACGGCCAGUUCACAGUUGCAAACAAAGACAUGGAGCCAGAGCUGAUGUGAUGGCUAUGGCAGGGCCAACGGGAUGGGGGUGUUUGGAGUUUGGUGUUUGGAGUGGUUUUGAUUUGUUAUACAGCUUAGCUCAGAUUUGUGAUAAAAAAACGUCUUUAAAUAUAUAUAUAUAUAUAUAUAUAUAUAUAUAUAUAUAUAUAUAUAUAUAUAUAUAUAUAUAUAUAUAUAUAUAAUUCAAAUGUGGAUAAAAUGCAACAAUUUUGCAUGUUUUUUUCCCCAACACUUUAUGAAAAGCUAAACAGCCCAACAAUUGUAUUUUUGAUUGUAGAAUUAAAAAAGUUAAAGUAAAGAAUGAGCUUGUGUGCUUUCCAUCAGACUUCCGGCUCCUCAGAGUGAAAUAGUGAAGGACCUGGAGAAGAUAUUUCCCUUUGAGCUGGUUGCUGGGAUGAAUGGCAGAGUGUGGGUGAAAGCAAAGACUGUUCAGCAGACGCUGAUCGUGACCAAUCUUCUGGAGUCAUGUGAGAACAUGACCUCAAAACAGAGACAGACACUGUUUAAGAGAGUGGCAGAAGGCUCUCUCUAGAGGACAUCUGAAAAAACACUUUUCCCACAGUACAACUGGUGGUGGACAUGCCAAAAGUCUGCAUCAUCAGUUUUAAUGUUUAAAAAAAAAACAUACCGAGUUUUUUACACUGUUAAAGAGUUGGAUUCCCAUGCUAAACAUGGACAAAGUUUCAAAAAUUAAGUUGUACCUUUGAAGGAGUAUUUUUGUUCCCAAAACACUCCUUCCGGUUUGUCUCAAGUUUCGGAAAGUUUUUUUCGAGUAUGGCUCUGUGUGAGGUUAGAUGGAGCGGAAUUUCCUUAUAUGGGUUCUAGGGCACUUCUGUCGGAAGAGCGCGCGCUCCCGUAUGGGCUAGUUGCAUAUCUCCGCCAUCUUGGAUUUCCGGUUUUGCCAGUGUGUGCGUAGAUAUUCCCGGUUGUGCUUAAAGUCAGUGCAGAGAACCAGAGAAGUCCAAAUAUUAACUUCUAUAUGUUUACAGGAUUUAUAAUAUCACUUCAUAUGCAAAUAAGAUAUACACUGCUAUUAUCACUAUACUACAAAUGUUAACUGAGCCAGUGGAUUUGAAACUUGUGUAUGUUUGGGUCUGGUGAAUGAAUUAAAUACACUUAUGUUCUCUACUGUUCACGAAAUGAAAGUUGAACUCAUGGUGUGUAUACACAGCUAUAUAAUGUAUUUUAUCUUACCAAAUAUGUAAAUGUACAAAUUACUUAUUUCUCGAAAAUGUUUGCAUUAUUAUUAUUAUUAUUAUUUUUAUAUUAAAUAUUUACCUCGUGAGA